UUAUGGUAUUUUUUGCGUAUGGGCCCAUUCUGCAGUGAAAUUCAGAUCUAAUUUACAUACGAUUUAAUAGCUUAUUUUAUUAAAUAUAAAAAAUGUAAAAGGUUUGCGUUAUACCUGACACCUAGAUGAACACUUUCCAGUUGGGAGUGUGACUGUACGUCAUUCCCUUCAAAUGCUAUUGAGCUUUAAAUUAUGGUCUAUUUUGUGUAUGAGCCCAUGCAGUAAUAAAAUACAUGACAAUAUUUACAUAUGACUUAAUAGCUUAUUUUGUUAAAUAUCAAAAAUCUAAAAGGUGUGCAUUAUAGCGGACACCUAGAUGAACACUGUACAGUUGGUUAUAUGACUGUAAGUCAUUCCCUUCAAAUGCUAUUGAAGUCAGAAAUGUGUUUAACAAUGUCGUAUGUAACUUUAGAGACGGUCCCUUAAUUUCCGCAUAUCUGCGAAUAUCGAAUAUCGAAUGUCCAACGUCAAACCAACUUUAUGCCAGUGAAUUUAGGUACAGUGACAACCCUAGUGUGUGUACACGGGAAUAACACGGGAAUGUUCUUUAUUUGACUGCGGUAGUGAGAAGAGAUUAAUUCACAUCUAAUGUUUCUGGAUGAGUCACAAACGCGACUUCAUUGCAGGCGAUGUCAUCAUGCAAGCAGUUAACCAAGACAAGAGUUUUAUCGCCUCCCAGUUCAGAUGAACUACAACAGACAUGUUAGCUUGCUAGCCCCGGCUAACUUCGGCUAGCUGGUAGGAUUAGGAUUCUCUUGAGAAAAGAAACACUACCGUGAGCCACUAAACCUUCAAAUAAUAUACAAAGCGACUGACUGAAGGUUAAAACAUUCUCACUGCCAGUUAUGACAAGUGUCAUAUCUAUCUGUCUGUCUAUCAUAAGUUUGUGUAUAAACAGUGAAGCUAAACAAACACGGCCUUGUGUUUACCGACAAAUCCGGGAGCGUAAAGUUCUGCGCGAGCGCGAGGCCUGGCCGCUUCAGUCCGUCGCGCGCACAGGAAACCUUGCCGGCUUUACCUCACCGAUAGAAUCAAACUCACCGCUCUUCAGGAGACGCCGAGAAAUCAGAAUGACGGUUAGAUCAGACCGUAAAUAUAGCAGUCGGGAAAGCAAAAAAGUUAACGCUUCUUCAUCCCCUUUCUUACAUAUAUACACAAAGUUAAAGGUCAAAGUGAACGGAGAAGCAGAAGACUGUUCGGAGCGAAAUGGAGCCGUCGAGGGGAAGCAGCGUCGAGGCUCCGCAUCACGAGGCACAACGCUGCACUUCCACAACCCGCCAGCGGGGGCGCUAACGAACACGCCGUGUCCACUCAACAUCACCACCGACCUAGCCCAUUGUUAUUUAACAUGCGUAGAACAGCUUGACAGAAGCUCUAAACCGAUCCACCAAAUGAAAUUAGGACCUGUGUUCUAAAUUACUGCGGAUUUGAAAAGGGCAGUCUCACACCCCAUACCCACUCUGACCUUCUCGCCACACAACCGCUAACACCUCCUGCUACAACCCCCACACCCUAACCCCCACACCCCAACUACAGUCAGAGGAUGAUGCAUGUUACAUCCAGCAACACCUCAACAGACCAGAGACCUAUGCAAUGAUACUAUUUGUGGAUCUGGGAAAAUUCAUAUCCAGCAUUUGCACAAUUAGCACAACUGAUGCUCCUCAGGGCUGUUUGCUCUCUCCACUCUACACAAAUGGCUGUACAUCUACAGACCCCUCUGUCAAGCUCCUGAAGUUUGCAAAUGACACCAAAGUCAUUGGCCUCAUCCAGGAUGGGGACAAGGGAGGUUGAACAGUUGGCUGUCUGGUGCAGUCAAAAUAACCUUGUGCUGAGCAUGCUCAAAACAGUGGAGAUGUUUGUGGACUUCAGGAGGAAUUCCCCAGCACCCCCCAUCCUAGACAGCACUGUGGCCACUGUGGAGUCCUUCAGGGCCCUACCGUCUCACAGGAACUGAAGUGGGAGACCCAUAUAGAUCAGAACAAUUCUGUUCAAUCUGCCACAGGAGCUGCUGACCCAGUUCUACUCAACUGUCAUUGAGUCUGUUCUGUACAUUUCAAUAACUAUCUGGUUUGGUUCAGCUAACAAGUCAGACAUAAGACCACAAUGGACAGUCUAGACUGCUGAAAGGAUUAUUGGUGCUCCUCUGCCCUCCCUCCAGGAACUGUACUCCUCCAGAAUGAGGAUAUCGACAGGAAACAUCAUCUCAGACCCCACUAAUCCUGGCCACAACCUCUCUGAAUGGUUGACCUCUGGCUAGCACUACAGAACACGGAGCACCAGAACAUCCAGACACAAGAGCAGUUUUUUUUUCACCACAAGCCCUUAUCUCCCUCAUGAACAGUUAACUGCCCCAAUGACCCUCCUAGUGCAAUUUGUUCCCCACUGUAAAUUCAUGCCUAUUUAUUCUAUUACCUAUAUAUACCUCCAUCUUCUCUACACUGCAUUACCCCUUACAUAGCUGUACAUAGCAUCUGUACCAUGUCUAUUCUGCUUUAAGCUUAUAGUGUUAUUUUUUAAAUUCUUAUUAUGUGCUGUCAUAUGUGUACGCACUGGAAGCUUCACUUUCCAAGUCAAAUUCCUUGUGUGAACACACUUGGCAAUAAAGCUCAUUCUGAUUAUAAUCGUUUUGGGGCCUGUAACUGAAUUGAAAGAUUAAAAAGAGCUAGUCUGUUAUUCCACUGGAGGCAAAAUAGGGCAAUAAACUCAUACACUCAGUUACUCAUAAAAUAUGCUAAUGAAAAGAAUCUAACUUCAUCAAACUAAAAAUGUCACUACAACCAUGUCUCUUUCCAAAUAAUUAAUUUAGGGUCUUCAAAGCAACAUUCUUUUAACAGCAAUUUAAUACUGACAAUGUUUAAUGGUUACUAGAGACACAAAAAAAGAGUCAUCUGUUUGUUGUGAUUAUUAAUUCUGUACAUAAGAGCACGGGUUAUAGUCAGUGUCUUCAUAUUCAAUUGUUAACAGAUCAAUGUAGCUACUGAAAAUAUAGUUAGAAGCACACUGGUUUUAAUUAGAAGGAAGAUUGGACAAUUAUCCUGAUGCUACUCCUGUUCUGUGUUGUCAUCAAAUUUAAAGGAAAAAGUCAUUGUCAUUUCAACCUUGUAACGUGAAUGGCACCCUAAACUUGUUGCACUAUUGCUGUGUAAUGUUGUGUACAUUACAUAAUGCAUGGACUUUGAAGUACAAAAUAUUCAGGAUAAGAUAUUAUUAGGACAUCUCCUUGUUCAAGUUAGCAAGACUAAAGGCAUUCUGUCAUACAGAACUAAACAUUUUAUCCUUGACAUUACCUUGGUUAAUUAUUAUUAUUAUUUUUAAAAUCUAUUUAUUUGACACCAUAUAAAAUGCUAUCUGGUAUGAUUACAAAUUACAAAAUUAAUUGAUAUCAUCUUAUAUAAAGCAAAAGAACUAAGAGAAGCAAACAGAUAUUCACAAAUAAGCAGUUCUUCCAUUAACAGGUUUGUUCAGUAAACCUCAAAUUUCUUCUAGUUAAUGGCUGAUUGAAUAGUUUCUGAAAGUCACUUGAAUAGCCAAAACUUUCACUUUUAGUUUAAUAUAACCUUUAAUUUAGACUGUUUUAG